ACGGCCAUACCACAUUGAAAAAAGACCGGUUCUCAUCCGAUCACCGAAUUUAAGCAAUGUCAGGCCCGGGCAGUACUUGGGAGGGUGACCACCUGGGUACACCGGGUACUGUAGGCU